ACAUCUGCCUGGUUUUCUGUGGCAGCUGCAGCAUCAACACUGGCUCUUCGAAGAGUAGCAGCUGAUGAACAUUACUCCGGCAAACAAUUUUCUCUGCUAGAUACUGUGUUUUUUACUCGAAGAACUGGCAGCCCUGCAUCAAGCAAUGGAUUCCAUUUUUCCAACAGCAUGUUCUCAAUUCAUUAGCAGUUUUUGGCAAUAAAAUAUUUUUACUCAAGAAAAUGCAAGAGUGAAAAAUAAGCUUUCAGCUCUGGGAUGAUAGAAAUCCUCAGAUUGGACGGCAUGAAGUGGUCAGAAAAUGACAUCAGCCCAACCUCACGAGGCCCAAUCAAUAGACUCAACAUGAUGGCGUUUCUGAGAGCAGUGGCUUCUAAGGCAUGGCAUAACUAAGAAACUAUCAACUAAUCCAACACCAAGAAG
rnacentral:lncRNA from 1 species